AAAUAGAUAUCCAGGUAGUCCACGCCGUAAACGAUGAGUGCUAAGUGUUAGGGGGUUUCCGCCCCUUAGUGCUGCAGCUAACGCAUUAAGCACUCCGCCUGGGGAGUACGGUCGCAAGACUGAAACUCAAAGGAAUUGACGGGGGCCCGCACAAGCGGUGGAGCAUGUGGUUUAAUUCGAAGCAACGCGAAGAACCUUACCAGGUCUUGACAUCCCACUGACCGCUAUGGAGACAUAGUUUUCCCUUCGGGGACAGUGGUGACAGGUGGUGCAUGGUUGUCGUCAGCUCGUGUCGUGAGAUGUUGGGUUAAGUCCCGCAACGAGCGCAACCCUUGAUCUUAGUUGCCAUCAUUUAGUUGGGCACUCUAAGGUGACUGCCGGUGACAAACCGGAGGAAGGUGGGGAUGGACGUCAAAUCAUCAUGCCCCGUUAUCGACCUGGGCUACACACGUGCUACAAUGGACGGUACAAACGGUUGCCGAACCGUGGAGGGGAGCUAAUACCGAUAAAACCGUUCUCAGUUCGGAUUGGUAGGCUGCAACUCGCCUAC
rnacentral:rRNA from 1 species